rnacentral:tRNA from 1 species
UAAGCUUUAUUUUAAAUAGAAUUUCUAGUUGUUACCUAGAAGGUACAAAUAUUUGUAGGCUUAG